CCGCUCGGAGCGUUUCCAACUUGCCUCGCUCCCGGAUCGGUGUCGUGCUGGUCGCCCCUCCGCCCGGCUUCAGCCACUACCUGAAGGGCUCGAGCGGCCCUGCGGCCCGGAGACCCAGUGCGCGUCUCGAGAGCUCAGGAGCAGCGGACAGUGAGAGGACAUCAGCAUUGCUUACGGGGAACACCUGCUGCAGGAGCACCUCUGUGAGCCAGCAGGGCUCGUGUUUGCCCGCUGUGGUGCCCACGAGAAAGCUCUCAAUGCCUUUCUGGCUUGUGGCAGUUGGCAGCAAGCUCUCUGUGUGGCAGCCCAGCUUCACUUGACCAAAGACCAGCUGGCUGGCCUGGGCAGAACUCUGGCAGGAAAGCUAGCUGAGCAGAGGAAGCACGGCGACGCAGCCACAGUUUUGGAACAGUACGCCCAGCUGGAGUAAUUCAACAUAUCUACUACAAAAAGAAAACAAACCCACUAGAGCCAAGCAGGAAAGCAGUGCCUCCUCCAUCUUUAUCCUGGUUUCAGUGAUAGUCUCUCACAGCUCAGUGCCCUGCACCACUUCACUCAAUGCCUCCAAAAGGGCCAGAUCCUCCAGUGGACUCCCUUCCUUGAGGCUGUGCUUCUUCCGUUCCGCUUUGCGCCGAUUCUUAGAUGAUCUCCUGUUAGAAAUUAGAGAUGUUUUAAAAGGGGCUCUCCUUGUGCUGAACAGAUUAAAAUGAAUGUAACUAUUGGCCACCAACUUUCUGGGAAACCAGAGUAUAUACAGAU